GGUUGCCAUGGCAACCAGGGCAGAUCCGUAGGGCGCUCCGACCCCAAACCACACCCUAACCCUUCCCAUCCCCAGCCGCCCACUCCAAUCCAGCCCUCCAGACACGAUCAACUAAAACCAGGUGAAAAUUCUCGAUCUCGUCCUUCCCUCUCAUCCUUAAGGCUGAAAAUCUCCCGAUCUUGUACUGGGUCCAUACUAUAGGGGUAGAACACUGCAUGGUUCGGUGUAUAUUCGCAAUUGCCAGGCAGAAUACACCAGAUCUGCCAUGUACUACGUUUGAGGUUAACUUAGGUGCCUAGUUUAGGCACUUAAGUAGUUGGGUAUGAAAUGGAUGAGUAGGAAUCCCUAAAAAAGGGCAGGAAGGACGAUUUUUUGAAUGAAGAGGGUGGGAAAAAAUAAUUGCCACUUGUGUGUAACGACAGUUGCCGCUUGUGUAUGAUGACAAUUGCCACCUAUUUUGACCUGUUGCUUGCCAUCCCUAUCUUCCAUGUGCAAGCAGCAGAAGAAUACAAUUCUUGUGGAUUAUUGAUGCCUUUUUGAUCAUCCAGUGAUUGAGAACAUGUCGGAAAAGAAUCGAGACGCGGAAAGGAUGAAUCGCGAAGGUGGCGCUGAUGCUUGGGGUUCUCAAAGGCCAGAAACACCGCCUUGGGAUGCAGCAGAGUAUAGUCAACUCAUCUCUGCAGGGCCGUUGCUGCCACUACUAGAACAGUAUGCAGGCGUAGGUUCUUAUGACCAAAACACUCUCAGGGGGGCCCCAUGGCAAGUUCAGUCACAAGGCGCUAACACUGACAUAUGUACGGGCAACCAACCUCAACUAGCUAGUAUGGCUAAUCAAGGGCCUUCAUCCAGCACGUGGCAUCAGCCAGCACCCAUGUACCUGCCAUCGAC